AUGCGAGGAACAGGGCAGAGGCCGAUGGGCCCGCGUCCUCGCUCCCAGCCGGGGAGGGAAAAGGGAAAGGAGCAGGCGACAAAGUACCUGGCGGGAGGCCUGUCAGUCGGGGGUGCUUCCCGGCCGCCCGCCUCGCCUCGCCUCGCCUCGCCUCCCCUCCGUGGGCGGCACAAUCGCCUCCUUAUUCAGAUAUUCAUGACACACGGUGGCGAGAUAGAAAAUGACAGUGGGGAGGAGUCUAUUUUAGGAUGCUCAGGUAGAGCCUCAAGGGACACUGCAACCAAAAUCUGGAUCACUCAAAGAGACCAGCUGCCAGAGGACGUCGGUGCAAAAAUCUUCUGGGGAGAGAGAACAGCAUGUGCAAAGGCCCUGAGGCAGGAACAUGUUUCACAAUUUCAGGGAAUUGAGGAAAAGCUGAUGAGGAAGUGAUGGUAAUGAGCAAAGCGUAAAGGCAGGGACCAGAUUUAUUUUGAGAAUCAUCACAUAUAACAUUGUAGACUGUGUUAUAGUUUGCACUGGGUUUUGAACACACACUAUCUCAAUUCAAUCAUCCCGACAUUCCUAUUGACUUCCUCCGGGUCACAAAACUAGGAAGUGGCAGACAGGGCCUCUGACCAAGAACUCUGCACAACUCCAGAGAGCACACUAUCCACACAGCAGGGGGAGCCAUUUGUAUCAUUGCUUGGAGUUUGUGCAGUGCACAGCCUGAGCCACUGUCCAUAGCGGCCCUGUGCUAGCUCAAGUCUAUUUUCUCCAAAUUUCUAUGCUUUUUCUGUGCUAGGGACUGUUGGGAAUACAAAGAAUAAAGAUAUUAUUCUAGCCCUUGGUGAGCACAUGAUGCGGUUAAAAAGAAACAAUAUAUGAAGAGAUAUGCAUGAUAUAAGACAGUUUUUGUUUCUGACAAGGAUAUUAUGAAUAAUUAAGUAGGGGGUGCAAGAUUUGUAAUUGGCUUGAAGAUUUAGAUUGGUGGACAGAGAAAUCCAUAGGAGUCAUCACACACACACUCAAUAAAAACCAAGUAUGUUUAUAGACUACCAUAAAUGCUUGCCUCCAGCAACUUGAGAAUAAAAAAAAAAAAGAACAUUUAUUAUCCUAUCAUAUAAAGGACAGGACCAUAUAGGUAAAAUUUUGGUAAAUCUAAGGCAAGAAAAAGAAAUCAUCUAUAAACUCAUUAGUAGUGGGCAGCCCAGGUGGCUCAGCAGUUUAGCACUGCCUUCGGCCCAGGGUGUACUCCUGGAGUCCCGGGAUCGAGUCCCGUGUCAGGUUCCCCGCAGGAAGCCUGCUUUUCCUCUGCCUGUGUCUCUGACUCUCUCUCUCUCUGUCUCUCAUGAAUAAAUAAAUAAGAUCUUUUUUUAAAAAAAAGAAAAUGAAAACUCAGUGAAACACAACUGCUUUUUACAUUUUAGUGUAUUACCUUCUGGUUUUUCCUCCUCAAAAAGCAGUGUGUGUGUGUGUGUGUGUAUUUAUAUGACAUGUAUAUGAAUGUACAGAUAUGUCAUACAUGUCAUAUAGACACAUACCACAAACACAUAUUACCUUAUCGAGGUAUAAUUUACAUGCUUUAAAAUCCAUGUGUUUUAACUGUGAAGGUUAACGAGUUCUGGCAAAUACAAGCACCUGAGUAAUCACCACUAUGCUAAAGAUCUAGAACAUUUCUUUAUCCCACAACUUCCCUUACCCCAUUAGUCACUCCCUCACCC
rnacentral:lncRNA from 1 species